GGGUUCCUGGCAACAGUGUUGGAAGGCACCAAAGCAGCAGCAUCACUGAAGGGAAUAUGACCCAGGAAUAUGAGCAGGACCCAGGAUUGCCUCCUGGAUUGUCAGACCCUGGCUUCUCGAUCCCGCUCAAGCAAGGAUGGAAACCAGCUCUGAAAUGCUUUAGGAGGGAUGCAGGAUCCAGAGGUGGGAUGCCAAGGUCUGGAGUCUCGCACCUCCCCUCCAGUUUUGGGAUGGCUGCUCUAAGGCCUGAAGACACUUCUAGAGCCAUCCCCUGA
rnacentral:lncRNA from 1 species